GACUUGAUCCAAAGCUCUUUGCUCAAUCAAAUUGAGUUAAUUAGCAAUCUAAUUACUAAUAAAUAUUCUAUUGAAAGUAGAGUCUUAGUCUAGUGAAAUUCUGUUUCAGAGUCCUAGUCAUAGUGGGACUCUUCACUAGAGUCACAAUCCAAUUGGACUCUUCAGCCAUCAGAUCAGAUCGUAUCUUCUAAUGUGUGUGACCCCAUAAGUUUAAAUCUAAGCCGGUAGCAUAGGAAUAAUUUUUUAUACUAAUCGAUGUAACCAUCUAGCAAUAGGACCUGACGUUCGGAUA
rnacentral:lncRNA from 1 species